rnacentral:piRNA from 1 species
UGAGAAUGUGUGGGUCAAAAGGGCAAGC